UACGGAGGGAGCUAGCGUUGUUCGGAAUUACUGGGCGUAAAGCGCACGUAGGCGGACUGAUCAGUUGGGGGUGAAAGCCCAGGGCUCAACCCUGGAACUGCCUUCAAUACUGUCAGUCUUGAGUCCGAGAGAGGUGAGUGGAAUUUCCAGUGUAGAGGUGAAAUUCGUAGAUAUUGGAAAGAACACCAGUGGCGAAGGCGGCUCACUGGCUCGGUACUGACGCUGAGGUGCGAAAGUGUGGGGAGCAAACAGG
rnacentral:rRNA from 1 species